GGAAAUCCCGGAACCAGGGGAGCCAAGCGGCCUCGCUCAGUGCGCAUGCUCCAGACUGGCGACGGCCCGGUGUCCCUUUCCCGCGGGGCCCAGGGAGCGGAUCUGAAAGGGUGGUUGGCAGAUGAAGGGCGAGGGAAAAAGAUUCCAAUCGGAACCGAUCCGAAGCGAGCGGCCGGAAGUGACGCAUACGAGCGAGCGGAAGGACGGAGGCCCCUGCUUGUUGCCCUGGAAACCGAACCCUCCCCCAGGCCCGAGUGCGUCAGCGGCCCCGAGCUCCGUGCGCGGGGGCGACGCACUUCGGUGGCGGGGUCCGGGCGAGGGCGCCCUGCGCGCCGAACGGGACCCUAAGCUGGCCUUGUGUGCCCUCAGCCCAGAAUCGUGCACCAGACACCCGCCCCGUGCCGGGCAUCAUAGUCACCGGCCCAGGGGAGAACUGGACCUGCGCGGAUCCUCCUCCAACCCCGCCGGUCGCCCUCCUUGGAAGUCGUAGCCCGCCUACUCAUCCGCUCGAUUUUAAAGCCGCAGCUUUUCCCGACCGCAAAGCUAACCCACUGCUCUUUCCCCUUUUUUCCCUAAGCCAUGCCCUUCCACGCUUGCUUGUGUUUUCUGUAUCGUUUUGCAGAUAUUACGUUGCAAUAGCAUUCAUUUCCGUCCUCCCGGGCAGCUGCUGCUCUGCGGUACAAGUGUGGGUGGUUGAUGGUCGUCUUUUUGCUUCUCUACAUUUCCUCCUUUAAAAAGCAUACAUACAUAGAUUUCGUGAUGAAAAAUCAUUUUUUAAGAGCCCAGUCCUUUGUCCUCAAAGAGCUUGAUACAUUUGGAAACACUUUUUUCGGUUAACUUUUUUAUAUAUAAUUUCAAACUUAGGACACUGAAUUGUAAAAAGAACUCGCAUACACUCUAUCCAUAUUUGCCAACUGCUUUCUUUUUCGCCUCCUUUGUUUUAUAAUGAGAUAGAUGAUAGGUAGACAGACAUACUAAUUAUGUACUUUAUAGCUAUUUUCCCCCUGUCCAGGAUCACAUGUUGCAAUUAGUUUUCAUAUAUUUAAUAUCCUUCUAACUGAAAGUUUCUCAGUCUUUUGUCUUUCGUGACUUUAAUAUGUUCGAAAAAUACAGGCCAGCUAUUUUGUAAUAAAAUAUUCCUCAAUUUGA